GUAAAAAUGAAUGGAUCACUGAGGAUUCAUUAAGAAGUAUCACAGCCUAAAAGAUUCAUUUUCAUCAAAUCACUUGAAUUAUAUCGAUUCUUCUUUAAAGAAUCACUUCAGUGAUACAAGCAAAGGAUCACAUGCAAUGAUCCAUUAAAAGUAUCCUCGAUUUGAUCUUUUCAAAUGGUUCAACAUACCGCAAAAUUUUAUAAAUAAAUUGGUAGAGAAAAUCAACUAAAACAAUAGUUUUCCAGGUUUGCUUAAUAGUACUUGAAAAUUGAAACACAAAAUCUGCAGGAUUAUUAUAUUUUUGUUUAGUGUUAAUUACGUAGAAAUAAUUUAUUUAAAUACAGGAUCAUUUCAAAUGGUUCGAAAUGUGAUCAAUUCAAUUGGAUCAACAUUUACGACUUUUUCCUCCUGAAUUUUCUUGAGAAUAAGAACAAAACAACAGCCAAAAACUUGCUUAGAGUAUUUACUCUGGCGAUAAAAUGUUGCUAUAAAUAUAAAAUUAAUAGUUAUUGUAUUUUUUCGUGAGAUAAAAACAAUUAAAAUGCGCAUCAGAAAGUGAACAUUUGAAAGGAUCACUUUUGUUUCCUUUAGCAUUCGAGGUGUUUUGUUCUCGCGUGUCCAGCUGGGUGCGGCGCAAUUGAUCUGUCAAAAGAUCACGCCACCCCUCAGUACCAAUGGCAAAGUGCACAAGUGAAGAAGUGUUUUUAUGUGCUUUGGGCUAAUUAAAUUUUGCGACGCAGUUUUUGAGAGGUAAGUAUUUUGCUUUGGAAUAGCAGAACACUAGAAAAGUGCGUGGAAAUAUUGUGAAAUGUGAAAAGAAACGUAGAGGAGAUAGUGUAAUGUGGUGAAUUGUGAAAUACCAAAGAAGCCAUGAUGUCUAGAGUGCGGCGUACAAUUCUUGAAAAAAUAAAAUGUUUUUUGCUAUUGAAAUUAUCACUUUAUUCAGCCAAUCUCGUAAAUUACUGAAAAACAUACACAAAAUGUACUAUAUUGGCUGAUAAGACCGAUCAAAACGCAUUGUAGAACAUGUAUUUUGCGUCCGGAAACAGAAAUAAUCUUUUUUGUUCUUUUCGUUUGUAGAUUUCUUCAUCUGAUUUUUUAUUAACACCUCCUGCUCAUCUUAGCUAAGCUCCUAGGGAGCUAGAGCAAGAUACGUAUACUAUCAAGAACAGGACAGAAUAUCGACCAGUUGCGGUGUGGCUUGAGAGAGUUAUAUACGUUCCGGAAAUUCUUGUCCAUUUUUCUUUCGCUGGGUCCUCAUCGUAUUCAUCUUUGGCUCAAUCCGAAGCAUUGAUCAAAUUGACUAAAGAAGAUUCAUGAGAUUCAGCUGAAGUGAUCAUACCAGCGUCUGAACAAAUUUAGGUGUGCCGAAAGAGUACUUUGAAGAACACAUAUUCAGCUAAAAAAUGGACAUUUUUGUGAACUUGCUAUUCAAUGAGAACUUAGAAGUCGUGGAUCUUUCCACCCCAAACAACGAGAUUUUGCGUGAACAAGAUGUAAUUGCGCUUGCUAAAACAACUUUUAAUAUUACCGAAGACAUUUAUUUCACAAAUGCUAAAGGAGCACGGAUUUCUGAGGAUUCAUUGCUGCGAUACAUCCUGAAGUUUCAUAAUGAUCCGAAUUUUACAUUGCACGUUAAAUUAAGUAAUCCAUUUGGCGAGGGUUCAUCAAAAAUGAAUGACGUGCUGUGCUAUGAAAUAGUGGAGCCAACCAUCGCAGAAGAAUCAUCCCAAGAAUCAUGUAACGAUAUGGCCACAAUUGGAGAUGUUAAACCUGAUCAUUCCCCCCAGGUCGGACUAAAACUGUCAUUACAGGAUUUGAAAAAGUAUAUUAUGAAUUGUGGCGCUCAAUCCAUCUUUGAUGAGUAUGAACACCUGGAAACACUGUCAAUGAAACAGCGUAUAAAGUUUGUGAAUUUGGUAGCCCAACAUUUGGUAAGGAAUUGCGGCUAUUAUCCUACGCGUGAUGAGAAAAUUGCCUAUGCAGAAAUGUGCAUAACGAUUUUUCCCUCCUUCAGAACUAAAUCUAUUUAUCCAUACAAUAAUUUACAUUGUUGAAAUAAUAGUAGAGGAUUUUUAAUAUAAUAUUUGAAAUCAAAAUGAACUAAAAUUUUAUCUUUAAUUGUACGCGAGGUUUAUUUUGAUUUAUCUAUUUAUUUAAUUUUCUACUAUUAUUCAAACCAAAUCAUCCUUAGAUGCGCAGAAUAUUGAAAAACACAUUAUCACGGAAGGAGCUCUUUUAUGACCCAAUCGGUAAAUGCGGUUUUCUGUACGAUCGCAUUAGAAGACUACAGAGGGAAAACGUGAAAUCUACCGGUGUUGGGAAAUACAAGAAACGUAAAACAAGUAAAGAUCACAACACGAACCAAGAAAACGCCAACCAGGACAACUCUCAAGGGGGUACUACGGUGGUUACAGAAGAAGUUUUAAAAAGAGAGAAGGAAAAUAUUAUUUUUCUUAAAAAUGCAUCGCUUUCUCAGCAAAAGGAGAAAAUAAUCACAACCUACAAGGAAAAUAAGGAGCACAGAAAGCGAAAUUUCAACAAUAUUUUGAUUGACUACAAGGAGAUACUUUUGCUGAUGCCAGAACUGCUCCUUUUGGAUUUUGAGGCGCCGCGUGAACCAAGCGAAAUUCGAUCUACAUUGAUAUCGUUGUUGCAAAAAAUCGAUAAGGAAUACGAAAUGCUUCCUGAUUCCAGAAAGAAUAAAAGCAACGAAAUUAUUGAUGAAUGGACAAUCAGCGUACAAGGAUUUUUGAAAGUACUUGCCUUUUUCCCUCCAGGAAAUACCGACGUGGAGAGACAGAAGGCAACACUAAAACAAUCCCUUUCGUCGUUCCUUAUGUUUUUUCCGCUCGGAACUCCUCCUUCCGAAAUUAUUACUGAAGUAAACAAAGGACAACCAGGAAUUCAACUCUUCGCUGAAGGAGGCAACAGAAAAUCAUUAUCGAAUUUUUAUUUGAAAAUCGACAAUAUUAUUUUGAAAAUUAAGGCAGUUGACUUCAUUGACGCUUUUGACUUUUAUUUUAAAAGUCACUUUGCUCUGAACAUUGAAUUCAAGAAAUGCCAUUCAGCAUUUCUAAAAUUCAUUCAAAAAUAUGUUUAUGACAUUGAUUUACAAAAAACAACAGUGUCAAUGAAAAAUUUGGCAUCACGUUUGGAAUUAAUUUAACAAUAAAAGUUUCAUGUAAGAAAAUGUAAAGAAAGUGCGCCUCCAAGUCCCAGGCUGAACUGAACUGAGUAAAUAAUAACAUUUAUACUAACAUAAAAGUUUUGAAAUAAAUUAAUCUUUUUUUUUGUCAUUAAGAUAGCUUUUUUGUGAAAAAGGUCGCACUGUUGUAAUUAAAAUUCAUGUAAAAUAAUAUGAUUCUAAAAAGUGAAAUAUUUCUUUAAAUAAAAUAUAUGAGAAAAGGUAA